CAGGAACAGCUUGCUGCUUCUCUGACGAGUGGCGGACGGGUGAGUAAUGUCUGGGAAACUGCCUGAUGGAGGGGGAUAACUACUGGAAACGGUAGCUAAUACCGCAUAACGUCGCAAGACCAAAGAGGGGGACCUUCGGGCCUCUUGCCAUCGGAUGUGCCCAGAUGGGAUUAGCUAGUAGGUGGGGUAACGGCUCACCUAGGCGACGAUCCCUAGCUGGUCUGAGAGGAUGACCAGCCACACUGGAACUGAGACACGGUCCAGACUCCUACGGGAGGCAGCAGUGGGGAAUAUUGCACAAUGGGCGCAAGCCUGAUGCAGCCAUGCCGCGUGUAUGAAGAAGGCCUUCGGGUUGUAAAGUACUUUCAGCGGGGAGGAAGGGAGUAAAGUUAAUACCUUUGCUCAUUGACGUUACCCGCAGAAGAAGCACCGGCUAACUCCGUGCCAGCAGCCGCGGUAAUACGGAGGGUGCAAGCGUUAAUCGGAAUUACUGGGCGUAAAGCGCACGCAGGCGGUUUGUUAAGUCAGAUGUGAAAUCCCCGGGCUCAACCUGGGAACUGCAUCUGAUACUGGCAAGCUUGAGUCUCGUAGAGGGGGGUAGAAUUCCAUGUGUAGCGGUGAAAA
rnacentral:rRNA from 1 species